CCUACGGGGGGCUGCAGUGGGGAAUAUUGCACAAUGGGCGCAAGCCUGAUGCAGCCAUGCCGCGUGUGUGAAGAAGGCCUUCGGGUUGUAAAGCACUUUCAGCGGGGAGGAAGGCGUUAAGGUUAAUAACCUUGGCGAUUGACGUUACCCGCAGAAGAAGCACCGGCUAACUCCGUGCCAGCAGCCGCGGUAAUACGGAGGGUGCAAGCGUUAAUCGGAAUUACUGGGCGUAAAGCGCACGCAGGCGGUCUGUCAAGUCGGAUGUGAAAUCCCCGGGCUCAACCUGGGAACUGCAUUCGAAACUGGCAGGCUAGAGUCUUGUAGAGGGGGGUAGAAUUCCAGGUGUAGCGGUGAAAUCCGUAGAGAUCUGGAGGAAUACCGGUGGCGAAGGCGGCCCCCUGGACAAAGACUGACGCUCAGGUGCGAAAGCGUGGGGAGCAAACAGGAUUAGAUACCCGAGUAGUC
rnacentral:rRNA from 1 species